rnacentral:rRNA from 1 species
GGAAUCUUGCGCAAUGGCCGCAAGGCUGACGCAGCGACGCCGCGUGGAGGAUGACGCCCCUCGGGGUGUAAACUCCUGUUGCCCGGGACGAACAAGUGGUUUCGACCACUCUGACGGUAUCGGGUGAGGAAGCACCGGCUAACUCCGUGCCAGCAGCCGCGGUAAUACGGAGGGUGCGAGCGUUGUCCGGAAUCACUGGGCGUAAAGGGCGCGUAGGCGGUGGGGUAAGCGUGUGGUGAAAGUCCGGGGCUCAACCCCGGAUCGGCCGUGCGAACUGCUCCACUUGAGCACUGUAGAGGCAGGUGGAAUUCCGGGUGUAGCGGUGGAAUGCGUAGAGAUCCGGAAGAACACCGGUGGCGAAGGCGGCCUGCUGGGCAGUGGCUGACGCUGAGGCGCGACAGCGUGGGGAGCAA